CCUGGUGGCUCAGAGGGUAAGGUGUCUGCCUACAAUGCAGGAGACCAGGGUUCAAUCCCUGGGUCAGGA
rnacentral:tRNA from 1 species